rnacentral:rRNA from 1 species
CGCGUAGGCGGUCCGCUAAGUUCGGCGUGAAAUCCCCUGGCUCAACUGGGGAACUGCGCUGGAUACUGGUGGACUCGAGUACCGGAGAGGAGAGUGGAAUUCCUGGUGUAGCGGUGAAAUGCGUAGAUAUCAGGAGGAACACCGGUGGCGAAGGCGGCUCUCUGGACGGAUACUGACGCUGAGGCGCGAAAGCGUGGGGAUCAAACAGGAUUAGAUACCCUGGUAGUCCACGCUGUAAACGAUGGGGACUAGGUGUGGGGGGUAUUGACCCUCCCGUGCCGCCGCUAACGCAUUAAGUCCCCCGCCUGGGGAUUACGGCCGCAAGGUUAAA